rnacentral:lncRNA from 1 species
ACUGAAUCCUGUUGUCACUAUUUUUUUCUUUUUCUUUUAAGACUCACUAUUCAUCCAGCCUGAUUUUGAGCUAAUGGUGAUCCUCCUGACUCAGCUUCCCCAGUACUGGGAUUUUAGGUGUGCACCCCCAUGCGUGGCUCUGUGUUAUCACUAUAUUAUUUGAAGUAUGAGGCUGGGAGAGAUUAAGUGAUUUGUGCAAGGCAAGGUGCUAUUUAAAUAUCAGUCAGUCUUCAUGCUGUGUCCUAGUAGAGGGACUCUCCUUUUAGAACUGGAGCUGGUAUUUAAUUCAGGAUCUGGUUCUUUUGGUUUCUUGAGAAUUAAGCAUCCAUAGUGGUGAAGAUGACUCCCAGCCCUUGAGUAGCUUGGGCUGACAGAGCACAGGGUCAGAAAUUCCUUUUAGUGAGUGGGGGAGGUAAUAUGUUCAAUGCUGGAAAACCUCAUGUUGUGUUUAUGGCAGAAGGGGGAGAAACACCUUCAGAUUAGUGUAAACAAGAGGAAUGGGAGAGGAGGUAACCUGAAUCCCUCUGCCCACUCCUUUGUUUUAAUUUCCCCAUGAUAGGUGCAACACAGCGUGCUGUAUUUUACAGUGAUAAUUAAAACACUUGGAUUAGUGAGCUGAGAUUUAUAGGGCAAACAGGAGCCAGAUGAAAAAACGACAGUCUUUUCUUUUAUUUGCAGGCAGACAUCCAAAUUGCCACUUGCUUACAUUUUCUCCCUGACACUGUCACCUACACCGCUUAAUUAGAUCCCUUUUUUCCCUUUAAUUUCCAACCUCCCACUCAGCAGAGUUUGUGAAGCUUUGCACUCAGCUCUGUCCCACAGCCCAGAGAAAUGUGAGUCAGAACACAGCAGACACGGGCGAAGCAGUGUCCCUCUCUUCAGGGGGUGGGCUGGCCUGGCCAGCAGCCUCAUGGAGCAGGAAUGCGGUCUGAAUCCCCGGACAAGAUGUGUAGGGCCAGCCUUUUGAAGAUGGUUUUCCUGUGGGGAAAGGAAGGUGUUCUGAAUAAAGGUGUGGCAAGCUCCAGGUCUAGGGUUCUUGCUGCCCAGAGCAGAAUGGAUUGGGCCAAAGAUCAGCUUCAAGUCUCAUUUUCUGUCCAUCGAUGA